UAGCGUUUCGUUUAGGCAUAAUAUUAGGAUUAAAUAAAAAAAUAUGUUCUAUAUUUCGUAAAGUCCUAUAGAGGGAGUGAUUGUCUAUUUAGAUUCUUGUAAAUAAAUAUAAGUUUCUUUGCUUUUAUAUCAAUUUUUCCGCUUCCUGCUUAUAACUUGAUUCCUAGUUUCUCUUACUUCUUCUGAUAUUGCUUUAAAAGUGAUAUUGCUUUAAUAGAUUUUCCUCUCUUAUGACAAUUUGUAAACCUAUCUUACUUUUAUUAGUAUUGGAUAUUGAACAUUUAACUUAACAAUGAGUCGAUCUAUUGAUCGAAACUGAGAAUAAGCAAUUCAAAAAUUUUGUAACGUUAUACUAUGCAUUUUAAUCGUUGACUAUGCAUUAGUUCUUAUCCCAAAUUAAACACUAGGUUAAAAGAACGCUUAUGAAAAUAUCGUGUUAGUCAAUCUUUCAAUAUGGCAAGUAUAUUAACUAAAAGAAGAUAUUAAUAACUCAUAUUUUAUUUUUAGUGGAAUAGUAUGGCUCUCUAAUUUUAAAUGAAGAACCUACCAGAAUACCUCUAAAUUUGUAGUAGGUCUAUCAUAACUUUAAAUUUUUAGCUUAAUUUAGUCAUUUGUUUUUAGACAUCCGACUCGUUCUAUAUAGUUUUAUAUUAAAAAGUUUGUUUCUACGUAUUUGUAAAUUAUGAGUGGAGAAGAUCAAAUUUUCAUAAGAAAAGGAAAACGUAUCAGAUUAGAGGCUUUCCAACACCAGGUCGGAGGACAUACUCCAAUCUUUAAAUGUGGCUAUUCGACAGUAUGUAAAGCUUUUAAUAGACGAGAAUAUUUUAUAUAUAUCUCUGCCAGUCCUGAACUGGAAUCAUUUUUACCGAAACUAAUAGGCCUGAUGGAAGUUGGAUAUGCACAUAGUGAAGGAGAUAUCGAAAUUUAUGGUCAACAAAUACAGCUACUUGAUAAAGACCGAUUUCUCUAUAAAAAAGAAAAUCAAUUUCUUCUGAAAUCUGAUUGUCCGCAAAAGGACGUUACGGAAGAGGUUCAUAGAUCCUCAGUUGAAAAACUAUUCCUUCAUUCAGACCGAUUACAACCAUCUACUGGAAUUUCCAAUCCAUAUAGCAAUAGCACUUAUGUCAGAGCUUUAGAAAGACUAAAAGAUCGUAAACCGCCACAUUAUUUUACUCUUUUAGAGGAUCUUACUCAUUCUUUUAGUCGGCCAUGCGUUUUAGACUUGAAAAUGGGAACAAGACUUUACGGUGAUGAUGCUAGUGAAGAGAGGGUUGUUUUUCAUAAAAUUCAAUCUGAAAUGACAACAUCCUGUAGGCUAGGAGUUCGAGUAGGUGGCAUGCAGUUGUUUAAAAGGGAGCAGAAUAAAUAUUUAUGCUAUGGAAAGCAUCAUGGCAAAGCCUUAGAUGAUGAAGGAUUCAAAGAAUGGAUAUUGGUAGAACGUCUGAAAACUCUAAGGAAGAUCAUAUUGAAAAUGGAUGGUUGGCGAUUUUUUUCGUCAUCUCUCUUGAUCAUAUAUGAAGGCUUUGAAGCUUCCACUUCUAGGAUAGAUAUUAAAAUGAUUGACUUUACUCGCUCUACCAAUGGAAAAUUUUUAGAUGAUAGGAUUGUUCAUAAUGGUCCAGACGAUGGAUAUAUUUUAGGAAUAAAUACCUUGAUCAAUAUUUUUGAAAAUUUAGGUUCUUAG
rnacentral:misc_RNA from 1 species